rnacentral:rRNA from 1 species
AGCGAACGCUGGCGGCAGGCCUAACACAUGCAAGUCGAACGAACCUUUCGGGGUUAGUGGCGGACGGGUGAGUAACACGUGGGAACGUGCCUUUAGGUUCGGAAUAACUCAGGGAAACUUGUGCUAAUACCGAAUGUGCCCUUCGGGGGAAAGAUUAAUCGCCUUUAGAGCGGCCCGCGUCUGAUUAGCUAGUUGGUUGAGGUAAUGGCUCACCAAGGCGACGAUCAGUAGCUGGUCUGAGAGGAAGAGCAGCCACAUUGGGACUGAGACACGGCCCAAACUCCUACGGGAGGCAGCAGUGGGGAAUCUUGCGCAAUGGGCGAAAGCCUGACGCAGCCAUGCCGCGUGAAUGAUGAAGGUCUUAGGAUUGUAAAAUUCUUUCACCGGGGACGAUAAUGACGGUACCCGGAGAAGAAGCCCCGGCUAACUUCGUG